rnacentral:rRNA from 1 species
UGGGGAAUAUUGCACAAUGGGCGCAAGCCUGAUGCAGCCAUGCCGCGUGUGUGAAGAAGGCCUUCGGGUUGUAAGCACUUUCAGCGAGGAGGAAGGUGGUGAACUUAAUACGUUCAUCAAUUGACGUUACUCGCAGAAGAAGCACCGGCUAACUCCGUGCCAGCAGCCGCGGUAAUACGGAGGGUGCAAGCGUUAAUCGGAAUUACUGGGCGUAAAGCGCACGCAGGCGGUUUGUUAAGUCAGAUGUGAAAUCCCCGGGCUCAACCUGGGAACUGCAUUUGAAACUGGCAAGCUAGAGUCUCGUAGAGGGGGGUAGAAUUCCAGGUGUAGCGGUGAAAUGCGUAGAGAUCUGGAGGAAUACCGGUGGCGAAGGCGGCCCCCUGGACGAAGACUGACGCUCAGGUGCGAAAGCGUGGGGAGCAAACAGGAUUAGAUACCCCUGGUAGGUCCAGCCGCUGUAAAACGAUGUCGAUUUGGAGGUUGUGCCCCUUGAGGCGUGGGCUUCCGGAGCUAACGCGUUAAAGUCGACCGCCUGGGGGAGUACGGCCGCAAGGUCUAAAAAUCUUGAAAAGGAAUUGGCUAAGCGGGGGUGCAUAGCUGUUUCCU